UACAAGCAAAUAAUCAGUUAAAUAAGACAAAUAAAUAAGUAACCGGUUCUAGUUCUAUUAAUAACCUGUAAUUAUUUUCAAAAUUUUUUAAAUUUCACAUAAUACCAUAUUAUUAAUUUUUAAAUUUCAAUUUCAUAACAGGGAAUAAGAUGAGGGAUUCUUAUCCGAAUUGAUGUAUGAAACAUCGUAUUUUCUACCGCACUUCUUGACGGUCCUUUGAUUGCCUGAAUUUUCCUGUGGAGAUUAAACACACUCCACAUACCUAAAAAAAAUACCCUAAAAACUCAAAAUCGGUAUUAAAAAUCUUUUCUGGCCUAUUUCGAAAUUCUGGCACGGUGGUGUUUUGCCUCGGUCUGGCCGUUUUCGACUGAUUUAGGCCGAUUUCGGUCGAUUUUAUAUAUAUCCCUGCGAAAAAAUACAUUGUGGAGUCUCGGUUGGCCUAAAAAAAAUAAAGAAACUGAAACCUACUGGUGGUGGAGUUUCCAGUGCGGUGGCUCUGUCAGCUCUCCUUCGCGGCUGGGAUUCCUCCUUCGGUCAACCUGCAGAAAACAGAAUGGUGAACACAACGGUAGAAAAAUUGCAAGAAACGAAAAUCAGGAAGGGGCUCAUCAGAGAGGGUUGUGGGUUUUGGGUCGCAGCGCGCCUUUCCAGCUCACUUGGCAUUCGUUUUGCUCCGAUAUGGCCACAGGGGUGCUCAUAAUCAAUUUCCGAAUAGGUAAGAGAAUUUUUACUUUUUUUGGCAGUCGAAGGUGGCUCCGGUGCGGCGAUGGUCGGCGGUCAGCUCCUUUUCUGGCAUCUAAUUCUUCUUUUCCGACGGGUGGAGGCUGGCGGUUAGGGUUCGGAUUUUGUGUGACGUGAAACAUUUAUACCAAUUCCGCGUUAAUCUGGGUCGUCCAUCGCGAUCGAUCUCGUUCAUUUGAUCACGUCUAAAAAGGAAACGAAUCUAAACCGUUCAUCGCGUUUGACCUCGACCGUUCGAUUGGCCUAAAGAAAAAUAAAUCUGAA
rnacentral:lncRNA from 1 species